UAGGGAAUCUUUGGCAAUGGGGGGAACCCUGACCGAGCAACGCCGCGUGAGUGAAGAAGGUUUUCGGAUCGUAAAGCUCUGUUGUUAAGGAAGAACGAGUGUGAGAAUGGAAAGUUCAUGCUGUGACGGUACUUAACCAGAAAGGGACGGCUAACUACGUGCCAGCAGCCGCGGUAAUACGUAGGUCCCGAGCGUUGUCCGGAUUUAUUGGGCGUAAAGCGAGCGCAGGCGGUUAGAAAAGUCUGAAGUGAAAGGCAGUGGCUCAACCAUUGUAGGCUUUGGAAACUGUUUAACUUGAGUGCAGAAGGGGAGAGUGGAAUUCCAUGUGUAGCGGUGAAAUGCGUAGAUAUAUGGAGGAACACCGGUGGCGAAAGCGGCUCUCUGGUCUGUAACUGACGCUGAGGCUCGAAAGCGUGGGGAGCGAACAGG
rnacentral:rRNA from 1 species